rnacentral:rRNA from 1 species
GGAGGGUGCAAGCGUUGUUCGGAAUUAUUGGGCGUAAAGCGCGUGUAGGCGGUUGUCUAAGUCUGAUGUGAAAGCCCCGGGCUUAACCUGGGAAGUGCAUUGGAAACUGGGCAACUUGAGUACGGGAGAGGAAAGCGGAAUUUCGAGUGUAGGGGUGAAAUCCGUAGAUAUUCGAAGGAACACCAGUGGCGAAGGCGGCUUUCUGGACCGAUACUGACGCUGAGACGCGAGAGCGUGGGGAGCAAACAGGAUUAGAUACCCUGGUAGUCCACGCCGUAAACGAUGGGUACUAGGUGUAGCGGGUAUUGACCCCCCUGCUGUGCCGAAGCUAACGCAUUAAGUACCCCGCCUGGGGAGUACGGCCGCAAGGCUA